CUUCAUUCUAAACCGAUUUUUUCCCAAUACAUGAUUUGGGAGAAAAUCAACCUUGGAAAUAGCCUUUGCAAGCCUUUUGCAUCACCACUGAAGCUAUCCUUGAGAUUGUAAGCACUUCCAAUAGUUUUGUGAGCUACUAUUAGUAACACAGGACUGGAUGUCUGGAGCUAAGAGAGAGAGAUUCUACUGUCUAUAUGACUCAUCACUGACAUCAGCUUGCAGCAACACAAAAUGAGUAGGCAGACCGGGGUAGUCACUUCAACCAGUUCCUUAUAUAAUACUGAGAAGCUACACUCUUAUUUCAGACUUCUCUGGAUAACUACUAGUAACGAAUAAGUUUGUCUGUAAAUGAAAACCAUGUAAAAAAACUUGCCUGACUCAGCAAUAUUGUGCUCCCGUGAUGUUGUCCAACCUUAAAUGUUUGGGAAUAUCACGUGACCAGUGACUUCCGCUCUAGACAUUGGCAAGAACUCUGAAAACCGCAGUACACUUUCCAGAUUAUGGCAAUGGGACUCUGAUGAAUGGACCAAAGGUAGAUUACGUCAUGAGGAGGCUGAGAGCCUGCAGGGUGGGUGGGGCUCACACAAGCCCCAUGCAACAUGCACACAGUACAGAGCUAGACGCUCAAGUAUCCCUGCAGCAUGUAGCCUAUGCAGCAUGUAGAUAUACUGUUGAUUGAAGCAUAGAUAGUAGAAGAAGUAACGGAGUAGUCUCUCGAAACAUGUCUGUCGAUUCCUCUACUAUCUAUAAUUGAAGCAACAAUUUAAGAAAGGUAUGGAACAGCUGGUCCAGGUCUCUCUGGUGUCCUUUCACUCCCUACACAAAGUACAAGCGUUUAAACAUUCUCGAUAUGGCUCCGUUGGUAUCAAGUAAACCUGAAAAUGCAUUCGUUGGUCCAUUAAAGUUCCUAUUUCAGUGGGUGGACCAACAAACGGGCUGGAUAAUAAGCAAGAAAAUAGUUUACUUACUUUGCAUGCAUUCUUUUUAUAGCCGUAUCCGAGCUCAUUUAAAAGCUUGGUGUCUCCGUUGGCAUCAGGAAAACCUGCUCGUUGGUCCAUACAGGAGGCCGUUUCUGGAAACUAGGUGGACCAACGGCCUGGACGACAAGUAAAGUUCACGCACUUUGAAUGCAUUCUGUGUUCCCCAGGUUGGUGUGAUUAUGAGCUCAUUUCAAAGCUUGGUGUCUCCGUUGGCAUCAUUAUAAACUGGAAAUCCUGCUUGUUGGUCUAUGAGGUUUCCUGUUUCUGGAAACUGGAUGGACCAACGGCCUGGACGACAAGUUGGUGUGAGCAAGCUUGCAUGGUGUCUCCGUUGGCAUCAUUAAACUGGAAAACCUGCUCGUUGGUCCAUAAGGUUUCCUGUUUCUGGAAACUGGGUGGACAAAUGGCCUGAACAACAAGUAAGAAAAUAGUUCACGCACUUUCUUUUAAUGUGUUCCAGGUUGGUGUGAGCUUCAAAGCUUGCAUGGUGUCUCCAUUGGCAUCUUUAAACUAGAAAACCUGCUCGUUGGUCCAUAAGGUUUCCUGCUUCUGGAAACUAGGUGGACCAACAGCCUGGACGACAAGUAAGAAAUAGUUCACGCAGCUUGAAUGCAAUGUGUUCCAGGUUGGUGUCAGCUCAUUUCAAAACUUAGUGUCUCUUGUUUGCAUCAAUUAAAGGAAAACCUGCUCGUUGGUCCAUAAGGUUUCCUGUUUCUGGAAACUAGGUGGACCAACGGCCUGGACGACAAGUAAGAAAAUAGUUCACGCAGCUUUAAUGUGUUCCUGCAUAGUUGGUGUCAGAGCUUGGUGGCUCUCCGUUGGCAUCAUGCAGUUAUACUAAAAAACCUGGACGUUGGCCCAUAACCUCUUCUGUUUUUGGAAACUGGGCGGACCAACGGCCUGGACGACACUGACAAGUGGGUAUCAGCUCAUUUCAAAUGCUGCAUGCAUGGUGGCUUUGUUGGAAACUCGAAAACCUGUUCCCUGCAUGGUCUAUCAGAAUAUCAUAUCCAGCCGGAAAUUGGAUAGACACAACAGCCUAUACGACAGCUGCAUCUACAGACUCUAUUAUACAUUAGACUGAAUGAAAGCCUCACUGCGACUCUGUAUGCUGAAAUCUACAAUGACAUUUAAGCUAAGAGCUCAGCUUGUCUACUCACUAGACUAUAGUGUAUUUUUGUCAAAUGUGGUUGUACCUAAAACAUGUGUGGUGAUACUAUGUGUAGCUACUAUAUCAGACAGGUCUCAUCAAGAGAUUCUUGUUCCUGCAUGGAUUUAACUAGAAUACUGAUGAUGUGUAUUCCUCGCUUAUCUGAGUUGGUCCAUUUCUGUGGCUUAGCCUAUAUAUAAUGAUUAAU